GACGAACGCUGGCGGCGUGCUUAACACAUGCAAGUCGAACGGUGAAGGGGCCUGCUUUUGUGGGCCCUGGAUGAGUGGCGAACGGGUGAGUAACACGUGAGUAACCUGCCCCCUUCUUCUGGAUAACCGCAUGAAAGUGUGGCUAAUACGGGAUAUUCUUGGUCUGUCGCAUGAUGGGUCUGGGUAAGAUUGCUCCUUUUGGUGUUUUUGGUGGGGGAUGGGCUCGCGGCCUAUCGGCUUGUUGGUGUGGUGAUGGCAUGCCAAGGAGGUGACGGGGAGCGGGCCGGAGGGGGGGGAAGAUCACAGGGGGACUGAGAAAAGGACCAGACUGCUACGGGAGGCAGCAGUGGGGAAUAUUGCACAAUGGGCGAAAGCCUGAUGCAGCGACGCCGCGUGAGGGAAGGAGGCCUUCGGGGUGUAAACCUCUUUCGCAAGUGAAGCAGGCCUGCUCCUUGUGGGUGGGUUGACGGUAGCUGGAUAAGAAGCGCCGGCUAACUACGUG
rnacentral:rRNA from 1 species